rnacentral:ncRNA from 1 species
GCCUACCAAUAAAUGUCGUACGGGCGCCAGGUCGAAAUGUGCCCCGUUCUAAGCGAGAAGAAAGACAGAGUAGGGUAGACCGCCUUCGUAGUAAUACGAUUAGGCUGGAG